rnacentral:rRNA from 1 species
CCUACGGGUGGCAGCAGUCGGGAAUAUUGCUCAAUGGAGGAAACUCUGACGCAGUGACGCCGCGUAUAGGAAGAAGGUUUUCGGAUUGUAAACUAUUGUCGUUAGGGAAGAUAAAAGACUGUACUUACGGAGGAAGCCCCGGCUAACUCGGUGCCAGCAGCCGCGGUAUUACGUAGGGGGCCAGCGUUAUCAGGAAUUAUUGGGGGUAAAGGGUGCGUAGACGGAAUAACAAGUCGGUUGUGAAAUCCCUCGGCUCAACUGAGGAACUGCAACUGAAACUAUUCUCCUUGAGUGUGGGAGAGGAAGGUGGAAUGCCUAGUGUAGCGGUGAAAUGCGUAGAGAUUAGGAGGAACACCAGUGGCGAAGGCGUCUUACUGGAGCGAAACUGACGUUGAGGCUCGAAAGCGUGGGGAGCAAACAGGAUUAGAUACCCCAGUAGUC